UGGGGAAUAUUGCACAAUGGGGGAAACCCUGAUGCAGCGACGCCGCGUGAGCGAUGAAGUAUUUCGGUAUGUAAAGCUCUAUCAGCAGGGAAGAAUUAAGACGGUACCUGACUAAGAAGCCCCGGCUAACUACGUGCC
rnacentral:rRNA from 1 species